rnacentral:rRNA from 1 species
AGGACGAACGCUGGCGGCGUGCUUAACACAUGCAAGUCGAACGGAAAGGCCCGCUUGCGGGUACUCGAGUGGCGAACGGGUGAGUAACACGUGGGCAACCUGCCCUCAGCUUCGGGAUAACACUUGGAAACAGGUGCUAAUACCGGAUAAUAACCUUUCAUCGCAUGGUGUGGGGUUCAAAGUUUUUCGGCUGGGGAUGGGCCCGCGGCCUAUCAGCUUGUUGGUGGGGUAAUGGCCUACCAAGGCGACGACGGGUAGCCGGCCUGAGAGGGCGACCGGCCACACUGGGACUGAGACACGGCCCAGACUCCUACGGGAGGCAGCAGUGGGGAAUAUUGCGCAAUGGGCGGAAGCCUGACGCAGCGACGCCGCGUGAGGGAUGGACGGCCUUCGGGUUGUAAACCUCUUUCAGCUCUGACGAAGCGCAAGUGACGGUAGGAGCAGAAGAAGCACCGGCAACUACGUGCCAGCAGCCGC